GAUCCAUUAGCUCAGCCGGUAGAGCACAUGACUUUUAAUCAUGGUGUCCGGGAUUCGAAUUCCCGAUGGAUCACCA
rnacentral:tRNA from 1 species